rnacentral:rRNA from 1 species
CGGCGUGCUUAACACAUGCAAGUCGAACGGGAUCCCUGGCAGCUUGCUGCCGGGGUGAGAGUGGCGAACGGGUGAGUAAUGCGUGACCGACCUGCCCCAUGCACCGGAAUAGCUCCUGGAAACGGGUGGUAAUGCCGGAUGUUCCACAUGAGCGCAUGCGAGUGUGGGAAAGGCUUUUUGCGGCAUGGGAUGGGGUCGCGUCCUAUCAGCUUGUUGGUGGGGUAACGGCCUACCAAGGCGUUGACGGGUAGCCGGCCUGAGAGGGCGACCGGCCACAUUGGGACUGAGAUACGGCCCAGACUCCUACGGGAGGCAGCAGUGGGGAAUAUUGCACAAUGGGCGCAAGCCUGAUGCAGCGACGCCGCGUGCGGGAUGGAGGCCUUCGGGUUGUAAACCGCUUUUGUUCAAGGGCAAGGCACGGUUUUUGGCCGUGUUGAGUGGAUUGUUCGAAUAAGCACCGGCUAACUACGUGCCAGCAGCCGCGGUAAUACGUAGGGUGCAAGCGUUAUCCGGAUUUAUUGGGCGUAAAGGGCUCGUAGGCGGUUCGUCGCGUCCGGUGUGAAAGUCCAUCGCUUAACGGUGGAUCCGCGCCGGGUACGGGCCGGGCUUGAGUGCGGUAGGGGAGACUGGAAUUCCCGGUGUAACGGUGGAA